AAGUCGUAACAAGGUCUCCGUUGGUGAACCAGCGGAGGGAUCAUUAUCGAGCGUAAAAACUCCCUAAAACCCACUGUGAACCUACCUACAACGUUGCUUCGGCGGUCCCCCUGGGGGCCCGCCGGAGGUCCUGAACCCUUUUUUUCCAGAGAGUCUUCUGAGUGGCGUAAAGCAAACAAAUAAGUUAAAACUUUCAACAACGGAUCUCUUGGUUCUG
rnacentral:misc_RNA from 1 species